rnacentral:rRNA from 1 species
CAUGCAAGUCGAACGCUCACCUUCGGGUGGGAGUGGCAGACGGGUGAGUAACACGUGGGAACGUACCCUUUGGUUCGGGACAACUCUGGGAAACUGGAGCUAAUACCGGAUACGCCCUUUUGGGGAAAGGUUUACUGCCGAAGGAUCGGCCCGCGUCUGAUUAGCUAGUUGGUGGGGUAACGGCCUACCAAGGCGACGAUCAGUAGCUGGUCUGAGAGGAUGAUCAGCCACACUGGGACUGAGACACGGCCCAGACUCCUACGGGAGGCAGCAGUGGGGAAUAUUGGACAAUGGGCGCAAGCCUGAUCCAGCCAUGCCGCGUGAGUGAUGAAGGCCUUAGGGUUGUAAAGCUCUUUUAUCCGGGACGAUAAUGACGGUACCGGAGGAAUAAGCCCCGGCUAACUUCGUGCCAGCAGCCGCGGUAAUACAAGGGGGCUAGCGUUGCUCGGAAUCACUGGGCGUAAAGGGCGCGUAGGCGGCGUUUUAAGUCGGGGGUGAAAGCCUGUGGCUCAACCACAGAAUGGCCUUCGAUACUGGGACGCUUGAGUCUGGUAGAGGUUGGUGGAACUGCGAGUGUAGAGGUGAAAUUCGUAGAUAUUCGCAAGAACACCGGUGGCGAAGGCGGCCAACUGGACCGGCACUGACGCUGAGGC